AUUGAACGCUGGCGGCAUGCCUUACACAUGCAAGUCGAACGGCAGCAUAGGAGCUUGCUCCUGAUGGCGAGUGGCGAACGGGUGAGUAAUAUAACGGAACGUGGCCUAGAGUGGGGGAUAACUAGUCGAAAGACUAGCUAAUACCGCAUACGGACUACGGAUGAAAGUGGGGGAUCGCAAGACAUAAUGCUCCUGGAGCGGCCGUUACAUGAUUAGCUAGUUGGUGGGGUAAAAGCCGACCAAGGCGACGAUCAGUAGCUGGUCUGAGAGGACGACCAGCCACACUGGGACUGAGACACGGCCCAGACUCCUACGGGAGGCAGCAGUGGGGAAUUUUGGACAAUGGGGGCAACCCUGAUCCAGCAAUGCCGCGUGAGUGAAGAAGGCCUUCGGGUUGUAAAGCUCUUUUGUCAGGGAAGAAACGGUAGUAGCUAAUAUCUAUUACUAAUGACGGUACCUGAAGAAUAAGCACCGGCUAACUACGUGCCAGCCGCCGCGGUAAGAC
rnacentral:rRNA from 1 species